GUGCUCACUUUGGCAGUACAUAUACUAAAAUUGGAACAAAAAGAGAAAAUUAGCAUGGUCCAUGUGAAACUGACAUGCAAAUUCAUGAAGCAUUCCUUAUUUUU
ensembl:snRNA U6 U6 spliceosomal RNA